AGGUCUGUUUCCUUAUUUCUCUCAUGAAACUUGGCAACACUGUCUCAAACUCUAGCCUCCCUCAUAACGACAACACCGGGAGGACUGAACAUAAAUCACUCACUAGUAUUGCCCGCCUGUUUCCACGUGUUUCCUUGUGUCUCUCUUUUGUUUUGGAACAGUGAAUUAGAGAAUCAGUUUAAUGUUUAAUUGUAUUUGAGUCUUCCUUAUUUUUGUGCACAUUGUCUAAGUUUCCAGUUAUCAAAGUUUACCUGAUUAUUUUUUGUAUGACAUGUAAAAUAGUUUGGUUAAAGCUGCACUAUGUAACUUAACACAAACAAGAACCCUUGUUUAAUAAUAAAUGCAAAUAGUGAAAAA